rnacentral:rRNA from 1 species
UACGAAGGACCCGAGCGUUAUCCGGAUUUAUUGGGUUUAAAGGGUGCGUAGGCGGAUUUACAAGUCAGUGGUGAAAUCUCCCAGCUUAACUGGGAAACUGCCAUUGAAACUGUUUAUCUUGAGUACAUUUGAGGCGGGCGGAAUGUGUCAUGUAGAGGUGAAAUUCUUAGAUAUGACACAGAACACCAAUUGCGAAGGCAGCUUACUAUGGUCUUAUUGACGCUGAGGCACGAAAGCGUGGGGAUCAAACAGG